UACGUAUGAGGCGAGCGUUGUUCGGAAUUAUUGGGCAUAAAGGGCGUGUAGGCGGGGGAUUAAGUUAGGUGUGAAAGCCUCGGGCUUAACCCGAGAAUUGCAUCUAAUACUGAUUCUCUUGAGUUCGGGAGAGGAGAGCGGAAUUCCCGGUGUAGCGGUGAAAUGCGUAGAUAUCGGGAAGAACACCAGUGGCGAAGGCGGCUCUCUGGCCACGAACUGACGCUAAGGCGCGAAAGCGUGGGGAG
rnacentral:rRNA from 1 species